CUGGGCUAGACAACGGUGGACCGUCCUAGAGAUAGGAUUUUCCCUUCGGGGACUGCCGGUUCAGGUGCUGCAUGGCUGUCGUCAGCUCGUGCCGUGAGGUGUUGGGUUAAGUCCCGCAACGAGCGCAACCCUCGUCCUUAGUUGCCACCAUUCAGUUGGGCACUCUAGGGAGACUGCCGGCGUUAAGCCGGAGGAAGGUGGGGACGACGUCAAGUCAUCAUGGCCCUUAUGUCCAGGGCCACACACGUGCUAUAAUGGGCGGUACAAAGGGUUGCAAACCCGCGAGGGGGAGCUAAUCCCAAAAAGCCGCUCUCAGUUCGGAUUGGAGUCUGCAACUCGACUCCAUGAAGUUGGAAUCGCUAGUAAUCGCGGAUCAGCACGCCGCGGUGAAUACGUUCCC
rnacentral:rRNA from 1 species